rnacentral:rRNA from 1 species
UACGAAGGGGGCUAGCGUUGUUCGGAAUUACUGGGCGUAAAGCGCACGUAGGCGGAUAUUUAAGUCAGGGGUGAAAUCCCAGAGCUCAACUCUGGAACUGCCUUUGAUACUGGGUAUCUAGAGUAUGGAAGAGGUGAGUGGAAUUCCGAGUGUAGAGGUGAAAUUCGUAGAUAUUCGGAGGAACACCAGUGGCGAAGGCGACUGACUGGACAAGUAUUGACGCUGAGGUACGAAAGCGUGGGGAGCAAACAGG